rnacentral:rRNA from 1 species
CCUACGGGUGGCAGCAGUGGGGGAUAUUGCACAAUGGGGGGAACCCUGAUGCAGCGACGCCGCGUGGGUGAAGGAGUGCUUCGGCAUGUAAAGCCCUAUCGGCAGGGAAGAAGCAAGACGGUACCUGACUAAGAAGCCCCGGCUAACUACGUGCCAGCAGCCGCGGUAAUACGGAGGAUGCGAGCGUUAUCCGGAUUUAUUGGGUUUAAAGGGUGCGCAGGCGGCCUGUUAAGUCAGCGGUAAAAGCCCGGGGCUCAACCCCGGCGAGCCGUUGAAACUGGCGGGCUGGAGUUGGAGAGAAGUACGCGGAAUGCGCGGUGUAGCGGUGAAAUGCUUAGAUAUCGCGCAGAACCCCGAUUGCGAAGGCAGCGUACCGGCUCCACACUGACGCUGAGGCACGAAAGCGUGGGUAUCGAACAGGAUUAGAUACCCGGGUAGUC